rnacentral:rRNA from 1 species
GAUGAACGCUGGCGGCGUGCCUAAUACAUGCAAGUCGAGCGAACGGACGAGAAGCUUGCUUCUCUGAUGUUAGCGGCGGACGGGUGAGUAACACGUGGAUAACCUACCUAUAAGACUGGGAUAACUUCGGGAAACCGGAGCUAAUACCGGAUGAUAUUUUGAACCGCAUGGUUCAAAAGUGAGAGACGGUCUUGCUGUCACUUAUAGAUGGAUCCGCGCUGCAUUAGCUAGUUGGUAAGGUAACGGCUUACCAAGGCUACGAUGCAUAGCCGACCUGAGAGGGUGAUCGGCCACCCUGGAACUGAGACACGGUCCAGACUCCUACGGGAGGCAGCAGUAGGGAAUCUUCCGCAAUGGGCGAAAGCCUGACGGAGCAACGCCGCGUGAGUGAUGAAGGUCUUCGGAUCGUAAAACUCUGUUAUUAGGGAAGAACAUAUGUGUAAGUAACUGUGCACAUCUUGACGGUACCUAAUCAGAAAGCCACGGCUAACUACGUG